UACGGAGGGUGCGAGCGUUAUCCGGAUUCACUGGGUUUAAAGGGUGCGUAGGUGGGAAUGUAAGUCAGUGGUGAAAUCUCUGAGCUUAACUCAGAAACUGCCAUUGAUACUAUGUUUCUUGAAUUUUCUGGAGGUCAGCGGAAUAUGUCAUGUAGCGGUGAAAUGCUUAGAUAUGACAUAGAACACCAAUUGCGAAGGCAGCUGGCUACAGGGAUAUUGACACUGAGGCACGAAAGCGUGGGGGAUCAAACAGG
rnacentral:rRNA from 1 species